AUUGAACGCUGGCGGCAGGCUUAACACAUGCAAGUCGAACGAGUGGCGGACGGGUGAGUAAUGCUUUGGAAUCUAGCUUAUGGAGGGGUAUAACUACGGUAAACUGUAGCUACUACCGCUUACCAUAGUUUGAGCCCAAGUGGGAUUAGGUAGUGGGUGAGGUAACGGCUCACCAAGUCGACGAUCUCUAGCUGGUCUGAGAGGAUUACCAGCCACACUGGGACGGAGACACGGCCCAGACUCCUACGGGAGGCAGCAGUGGGGAAUAUUGCGCAAUGGGGGCAAGCCUGAUGCAGCCAUGCUGCGUGUAUGAAGAAGGCCUUCGGGUUGUAAAGUACUUUCAGUCGGGAGGCGUUACCGACAGAAGAAGCACCGGCUAACUCCGUGCCAGCAGCCGCGGUAAUAC
rnacentral:rRNA from 1 species